UACGUAGGGUGCAAGCGUUAAUCGGAAUUACUGGGCGUAAAGCGUGCGCAGGCGGUUUUGUUAAGUCUGUCGUGAAAGCCCCGGGCUCAACCUGGGAACUGCAGUCGAAACUGCAAAGCUUGAAUGUUGGAGAGGUUGGGGGAAUACCUAGUGGAGAAGUGAAAUUCGUAGAGAUUAGGUGGAACACCAGAGGCGAAGGCGCCUGACUGGCCAAACAUUGACGCUGAGGCGCGAAAGCGUGGGUAGCAAACAGG
rnacentral:rRNA from 1 species